rnacentral:rRNA from 1 species
AUUGAACGCUGGCGGCAGGCCUAACACAUGCAAGUCGAGCGGAUGAGUGGAGCUUGCUCCAUGAUUCAGCGGCGGACGGGUGAGUAAUGCCUAGGAAUCUGCCUAUUAGUGGGGGACAACGUUUCGAAAGGAACGCUAAUACCGCAUACGUCCUACGGGAGAAAGCAGGGGACCUUCGGGCCUUGCGCUAAUAGAUGAGCCUAGGUCGGAUUAGCUAGUUGGUGAGGUAAUGGCUCACCAAAGCGACGAUCCGUAACUGGUCUGAGAGGAUGAUCAGUCACACUGGAACUGAGACACGGUCCAGACUCCUACGGGAGGCAGCAGUGGGGAAUAUUGGACAAUGGGCGAAAGCCUGAUCCAGCCAUGCCGCGUGUGUGAAGAAGGUCUUCGGAUUGUAAAGCACUUUAAGUUGGGAGGAAGGGCAGUAAGUUAAUACCUUGCUGUUUUGACGUUACCGACAGAAUAAGCACCGGCUAACUCUGUGCCAGCCGCCGCCGUAAGAC